AUUGAACGCUGGCGGCAGGCCUAACACAUGCAAGUCGAACGAGUGGCGGACGGGUGAGUAAUGUCUGGGAAACUGCCCGAUGGAGGGGGAUAACUACUGGAAAGGUUAGCUAAUACCGCAUACUAUCGGAGUGGCCCAGAUGGGAUUAGCUGGUUGGUGGGGUAACGGCCCACCUAGGCGACGAUCCCUAGCUGGUCUGAGAGGAUGACCAGCCACACUGGAACUGAGACACGGUCCAGACUCCUACGGGAGGCAGCAGUGGGGAAUAUUGCACAAUGGGCGCAAGCCUGACGCAGCCAUGCCGCGUGUAUGAAGAAGGCCUUCGGGUUGUAAAGUACUUUCAGCGGGGAGGCGUUACUCGCAGAAGAAGCAUCGGCUAACUCCGUGCCAGCAGCCGCGGUAAUUC
rnacentral:rRNA from 1 species